CCCUUCAGUACGCGCUCUCCCAUGCGGUCGCGGAAAAUGACACGUUGAUUCUUCUGCAUGUUGGUAACCCUAAUGCAUGGAGGAAUCGCCUUGGUGCCUUGAUCAAGAAGCCAUUGCCAAAUCCAGCUACGUCCAUGUCCACGUCCACCUCCCCAUCAGAUGGAGCAAGUGUAAACGGUGGUUCGUUCGGUGCUUUCUUCAAAAAGUCAACGCCGUCACCACCACCACCAUCAUCUGCAUCCUCUAACACGGCCGUGGAAAGCGGUGGUGGUGGUGUUAAGGGGUGCUUAGGAAAGGGAUACAUGGAUUUUCUUGGGACAAUGAAACAUGCAUGUGAGGCUGCACAACCCAAGAUAAAAAUUUGUACAGAAAC
rnacentral:lncRNA from 1 species